CCUACGGGAGACAGCAGUGAGGAAUAUUGGUCAAUGGGCGAGAGCCUGAACCAGCCAAGUCGCGUGAGGGAGUACUGCCCUAUGGGUUGUAAACCUCUUUUGUCGGGGAGCAAAAGCCGGACGUGUCCGGCUGUGAGAGUACCCGAAGAAAAAGCAUCGGCUAACUCCGUGCCAGCAGCCGCGGUAAUACGGAGGAUGCGAGCGUUAUCCGGAUUUAUUGGGGUUAAAGGGUGCGCAGGCGGAUUUUUAAGUCAGCGGUCAAAUCGUGGGGCUCAACCCCAUCCAGCCGUUGAAACUGGGGAUCUAGAGUGUGCGAGAGGUAUGCGGAAUGCGUGGUGUAGCGGUGAAAUGCAUAGAGAUCACGCAGAACCCCGAUUGCGAAGGCAGCAUACCGGUGCACAACUGACGCUCAGGCACGAAAGCGUGGGUAUCGAACAGGAUUAGAUACCCUGGUAGUC
rnacentral:rRNA from 1 species